rnacentral:rRNA from 1 species
GCCAGCAGCCAUGUCGCCCUGCAACUCACAACUGGCAACCCACUGAAGCUAAGCAGGUGUGAGCCUGAUCAGUACCUGGAUAAGAGACCUCCUGGGAAAAACUAAGGUUGCUGCUGGAA